UACGAAGGGGGCGAGCGUUGUUCGGAUUUACUGGGCGUAAAGGGCGCGCAGGCGGCUCAUUUUGUCAGGCGUGAAAGCCCCGGGCUUAACCUGGGAGGUGCGUUUGAUACGGAUGGGCUAGAGUUCGGGAGAGGAGAGUGGAAUUCCCAGUGUAGAGGUGAAAUUCGUAGAUAUUGGGAAGAACACCGGUGGCGAAGGCGGCUCUCUGGACCGAGACUGACGCUGAGGCGCGAAAGCGUGGGGAGCGAACCGG
rnacentral:rRNA from 1 species